CCCAGAACUGACUCACUUCUGCUCCUUCUGCCCCCUCUUUUCCCCAAGUGUCAAUGAAAUGCUACAAAGUGUUAAUCAAUCCCUGUGUAGGUGCAGUAGUUCCAGACUCACCGGCCAAACCCUCCGCCACCGAAGGCAUGUGGGCUGCUCCACGAGGUCCACCUGAUCCAGCAUCUGCCGCCGAACGCUCAGAAGCCAACCUUGCUGGCUAAUCAUUGGCUGAAAGCAUCUACUGACUGCUCUCAGCCUUUGGUAGCUAUCCUGAGAAAAGUAUUGUAAUAUGCAGAGAAUUGACAUUAGUCCACCCAGAAUCCUAGUCAUUGCCAGAAGUAGAGUUACACGACCAGCAGGUAGAGUUAUCUCCCUACGUCCAACAUUUCAUAGUAAAACGCUACCCACAAAGACUCCAGGCACCAUGACUACUUCAAAUCAUGGAAGUGAUCAUGGUGCGUAGAGUACCCUUUUAACAAUAUACUUUUUUUAAUACAUUUUUAAAUUUAAAUCACAUUCAUGCAACCUUUGAUCUAAC